rnacentral:rRNA from 1 species
GCGGCGCCGUAAUUAAACAACAUGGUCGUUUAUAGAAGGACCCACGUUUUAACAAAAAUAUGUCAUGUUUUUGACAGAGGCGACCGGGGUUACCUCUACAAUCCUUGUCUUUUGAAGAAGACCCGUAUGAAUGGCAUAACGAGGGCUUAACUGUCUCCCUUUUCCAGUCAAUGAAAUUGAUCUCCCCGUGCAGAAGCGGGGAUCCCCACAUAAGACGAGAAGACCCUAUGGAGCUUUAGACAAAAGACAGCCCAUGUCAAACACCCCUAAACAAAGGACAAAACUAAUUGGCCCCUGUCCUAAUGUCUUUGGUUGGGGCGACCGCGGGGAAACAAAAAACCCCCAUGUGGACUGAAGGCACCCUUCUUCACAACCAAGAGCCACAGCUCUAAGUAACAGAACAUCUGACCAACAAGAUCCGGAAUAAUAACCGAUCAACGGACCGAGUUACCCUAGGGAUAACAGCGCAAUCUCCUUCUAGAGCCCAUAUCGACAAGGAGGUUUACGACCUCGAUGUUGGAUCAGACAUCCUAAUGGUGCAGCCGCUAUUAAGGGUUCGUUUGUUCAACGAUUAAGUCCUACGUGAUCUGAGUUCAGACCGGAACCUUCGCCCUGCUUUAUCAAAAAAUAUAAUCACGUUUUGAUUUUAGACAGGGUCGCGAUU